rnacentral:rRNA from 1 species
CCUACGGGGGGCAGCAGUGGGGGAUAUUGGACAAUGGGGGGAACCCUGAUCCAGCGACGCCGCGUGAGUGAAGAAGUAUUUCGGUAUGUAAAGCUCUGUCAGCAGGGAAGAAAGAAAUGACGGUACCUGACCAAGAAGCCCCGGCUAACUACGUGCCAGCAGCCGCGGUAAUACGUAGGGGGCAAGCGUUAUCAGGAAUUACUGGGUGUAAAGGGAGCGUAGACGGUUAAGUAAGUCUGGAGUGAAAGGCCGGGGCCCAACCCCGGGACUGCUCUGGAAACUAUUGAACUUGAGUGCAGGGGAGGUAAGCGGAAUGCCUGGUGUAGCGGUGAAAUGCGUAGAUAUUAGGAGGAACACCAGUGGCGAAGGCGGCUUACGGGAGUGGUACUGACGUUGAGGCUCGAAAGCGUGGGGAGCAAACAGGAUUAGAUACCCCUGUAGUC